CGCGGCCUAUCAGCUUGUUGGUGAGGUAAUGGCUCACCAAGGCUUCGACGGGUAGCCGGCCUGAGAGGGCGACCGGCCACACUGGGACUGAGAUACGGCCCAGACUCCUACGGGAGGCAGCAGUGGGGAAUAUUGCACAAUGGGCGCAAGCCUGAUGCAGCAACGCCGCGUGCGGGAUGACGGCCUUCGGGUUGUAAACCGCUUUCAGUAGGGACGAAGCUAACGUGACGGUACCUACAGAAGAAGGACCGGCUAACUACGUACCAGCAGCCGCGGUGAUACGUAGGGUCCGAGCGUUGUCCGGAAUUAUUGGGCGUAAAGGGCUUGUAGGCGGUCCGUCGCGUCAGGAGUGAAAACUCGGGGCUUAACCCCGAGCCUGCUUUUGAUACGGGCGGACUAGAGGGAUGCAGGGGAGAACGGAAUUCCUGGUGGAGCGGUGGAAUGCGCAGAUAUCAGGAGGAACACCGGUGGCGAAGGCGGUUCUCUGGGCAUCACCUGACGCUGGGAAGCGAAAGCGUGGGGAGCAAACAGGCUUAGAUACCCUGGUAGUCCACGCCGUAAACGGUGGGCACUAGGUGUGGGGGACAUUCCACGUUCUCCGUGCCGAAGCUAACGCAUUAAGUGCCCCGCCUGGGGAGUACGG
rnacentral:rRNA from 1 species